rnacentral:rRNA from 1 species
AGUGAACGCUGGCGGUAGGCCUAACACAUGCAAGUCGAACGGCAGCACAGUAAGAGCUUGCUCUUACGGGUGGCGAGUGGCGAACGGGUGAGGAAUACAUCGGAAUCUACUUUUUCGUGGGGGAUAACGUAGGGAAACUUACGCUAAUACCGCAUACGACCUACGGGUGAAAGCAGGGGAUCUUCGGACCUUGCGCGAUUGAAUGAGCCGAUGUCGGAUUAGCUAGUUGGCGGGGUAAAGGCCCACCAAGGCGACGAUCCGUAGCUGGUCUGAGAGGAUGAUCAGCCACACUGGAACUGAGACACGGUCCAGACUCCUACGGGAGGCAGCAGUGGGGAAUAUUGGACAAAGGGCGCAAGCCUGAUCCAGCCAUACCGCGUGGGUGAAGAAGGCCUUCGGGUUGUAAAGCCCUUUUGUUGGGAAAGAAAAGCAGCAGGUUAAUACCCCGCUGUUCUGACGGUACCCAAAGAAUAAGCACCGGCUAACUUCGUG